rfam:Brachypodium distachyon strain Bd21 chromosome 4, whole genome shotgun sequence.
UAUAUACUCUCUCCGUCCCAUAUUAAGUGACUCAAUUUUUCCCAAAUAUGGAUGUAUCUAUAUCCCAAAAACGUCUUGAUACAUGUAAUAUUUCGUCACUUAAUAUGGGACGGAGGGAGUAGAAA